GAAAAAAAUUGAACUUCAUAUUUUCCACAGGUAAGAGAUUAAUAUCAAAGA
rnacentral:misc_RNA from 1 species